ACAGCACAUCCGUCACUGUACAGCUUCAGAGGGACGCGACGUCCCCCAACCACAUGUCAGAUCCAUGCGGAGGUCUUCUUAGAUCUGUGGCUGGAGAAUGGGGAUAGUCCGAAAAGGACUAGAACAAAGGUGAGGCUCCCAACUCCUGGCUGUGUUUGCUCUUUUCACCUUGUUAGCCUGGUGUUUGCAGCCUGUCGUCUAAGCCUGGCAGGCAGGUGGCCCCUACACGUCUGUGCACAUGGAGCACGCUCUGUCUUCUGGGAAACGCAGGACACCUGCAAGUGGGAGCAAGAAAUCAGUGUCGGAAUCUCCAAGGAUGUUAGCUGCGUAAGCACAAGAGCAGUCACUCGCUGUGGUCCUCUCCCUUUCUUACGCCCGGGCACCCUGAGAAGAAAACAUCUGUUAUCGUCCCCAAAUGGAACAGGUAUGGGGACACACUGGUUUCUCUGAAGCCCCUUAUUACAAGUAAAUCAGGCCUGGGAUUGGAAGACGGGCUCCGUCUCUUUACUAGUUGCAUUGCCUUUAGUCAGUCAAGCCAGUUUAGCUCUUUUUGAGGAAAGGGUUUUAUGAGCAUUAAAGAUAAUGCAUGAGAGGGAAGGUCCUUAGAACAAGGUUAAAAGGAAAUGGUCAAUAUUAUUAUUAGCUAUUUCACCCCGUCAGGAGAACAAUGUGAGUAGAAGAGUCUUCUGUUUUAUUACUACUGCUACAGUCACGCUCCCUGGAAUCGAUCGCUACCGACAUUGCAGGGUCAUUUUGCAUUGACCUCUUUCAAAUGUACUUAUUAAACAUAAAAUAAGGUUGAAGAGUCAAGUUCGAGAUUGUUUUCUGGAGCAGGUAAUAGGACGAAGAGUAGAAGACUACAAAGGAGAUUCUAGUGUGUGGAGUUGGUUUUGGUCCAACUCAUUCCUAUGGCACAGGGGGUUAACAACUGGCUGUUACACGGCCGUGGAUAUGGACUGAGGACUUUCUUUCUUUUUUUUUUUUAAGAUUUUAUUUAUUUAUUCAUGAGAGACACAGAGAGAGAGAGAGAGAGAGGGGCAGAGACACAGGCAGAGGGAGAAGCAGGCUCCAUGCAGGGAGCCCGAUGUGGGACUCGAUCCCGGGUCUCCGGGAUCACACCCUGGGCCGAAGGCAGCGCUAAACUGCUGGGCCACCGGAGGUGCCCGACGGAGGACUUUCUGUGCCGGGAUGGAUGGUGGUAAAUGUCUGUUCUAAAGCCUUCUAUUUUAGCAGCUAUCCCAGCAAGUCAGCAGCAUCUUCUGUGAUGUGGUCAGAACAGUUUUCGGCUGAAUCCCUCUUUCUUCUUUAACAUCUAUCACCACGGGCCACAUCCCCACAGGCUUUUCAGGGCAGAGUAGCUCAACCAAAGCAAGCUUUCCGUCUGCCUCUGGCUCAUCUGUCUCCACGGGCAGUUUUGACUCCUUCACCUGCCGUGAUCCAAAAUCAUGGA
rnacentral:lncRNA from 1 species